CCUACGGGAGGCAGCAGUGGGGAAUAUUGCACAAUGGGGGCAACCCUGAUGCAGCGAUGCCGCGUGGGUGAAGGAGUCCUUCGGUAUGUAAAGCCCUAUCAGCAGGAAAGAAAAUGACGGUACCUGUCUAAGAAGCCCCGGCUAUCUACGUGCCAGCAGCCGCGGUCAUACGGAGGGGGCAAGCGUUAUCCGGAUUUACUGGGUGUAAAGGGAACGUAGACGGCUGGGCAAGUCCGAUGUGAAAGCCCGGGGCUCAACCCGGGGACUGCUCUGGAUACUGUAAAGCUGGAGUGCGGGAGGGGGAGGCGGAAUUCCGGGUGUAGCGGUGAAAUGCGUAGAGAUCAGGAGGAACACCGGCGGCGAAGGCGGCCUCCUGGAC
rnacentral:rRNA from 1 species